ensembl:lncRNA
AUUUGCUUGUUUUUAAUCAAAUUUUUACAUUUAUCCCUAGUAAAAAAGUUAGGCAUUUUUCUAUGAAUGAGAAAAAAAAAACAUCAGAAUUUUCCCCUAAUUUUCAUCUAUUUGGACUUUCUUAAGAACAGAAUUGCUUUGUUUGAGUGCAGGCAAGAACAAUGAUUUGCUCCAUAGAAUCAACUGAAAGCGAAUCAACUACAGUUUUAGUAUAACACUGAAACUCUGUUACAGAUAGAGUUGCAGUAUUGCUCCAUUAUCAAUAGUCUUUAACAAUGAGUUCUCCUCCAUUCCCAAUGAAGGUUCAUCAGAACGAUUGGCCUUACAAUAAACCUAUAAAGCAUGAAUUACACAUUGUUUUUCCACAUGGACAUAACUUUCUGUAUUACACCUUUUCAAAAGAGAGGAAUAUAUUUUAAACAAAUACAUACCUCCUUGCAGCAGUCUCAUUAAAAGAGAAGAAAAGAGAGGUGGUUUCCGUAGUGGUACUUAAGUCUAGGGUAAAUCUAUCAAUUAUUGAAAUUCAUUAAUUAAGCAAAAUAUUUACCAAAAGUUGCUGCACACCUAUCUCAGUUUGAAGAUUUUUCUAUCAAAACACAUCUCAUUAAAAUUUUACAUGCUAAUCAGUAUGUUUACAAUUUCAUUUUAUGAGACUAUAAUUUUGCACUGUGGUUUUGAAUUCUUUUCAUUAUAAUUUUAUGCCAAUUAACUCAGAGAGGAAAAAUGUAAUUUACAGGUUUGCAUAAUUGCCCAGAUGUUAAGAUGUAGCACAAGUUGAGAACAAAACCAAAGACUUUUUAAGCUUAUGAUUUUGAACAGAGAAAAGCUAACUUUAGUUUCUUCUUGGCUGCUAAUUUUGCAGCUCCAUGUUUGGAGGUAAUACACAGCAUUCUGACUUUGAUUAAAAUCCAGAAACUUCUUAAUAUUUUAGUUUUCAGCACAACAGCUUUAAAAGGAAGACUUGAUGCAAGAGUGGAUAUCUAGGCUUUUAAAAACACAUCGACUAUUGACCUUUCUUCCAAAAACAGGUAAAAAUGAUUAUGUUCUGUAGAGAAUCUUGAUGGGUAAGAAAUUUCUCUAUUCACUGCUUGUUACUUCUGUAUUCUGAUUACUGUUUCUACGUCUCUUAAAGUAUUUUUGUAGAUCUGUUUAUCAUAUAAUUUUUCAUCCUUUUUCCUAACACCAUUUUGUUUCUAUUUUUUUCUGACAACGUCUCUAGAAUAAUUUUGAUUCACUGUAUUCACAUGUGGGUUGGGGGCCUCAUGUAAAAGACUAGUGAUGAAGACGGAUAGCAUAUAUUGUGUAUAUUGUAUGAGGAUGAUUCAUAAAUCCAUUAAUUUAUCUCAGAAGCUGAUACGUAGUGAUAAAGGCAUCUGUUUAGAUCAUUCAGCACUUAAUAAUUUUCCAGACAUAAUAUCAACUUCGUAUAUUAUUUCUCCAUUUCUGUAAUAAAAAUGAAUGUGGCAGAAAUUUAAAGUAAUGUAGAUUUUUUCUCUUAAGAUAGGUGGACAAGUCAUUACUAUGCUAUGUAGGCUAAGUAUUGAGUGCUCUAUGACAUACAUACAAUCUAGAGAAAAUGAAUUAUAGGAUGGUUUAAAAGCCUCACAUUUUAGGCUUCAAAAAAUUGUGAAAAACAUAUGAGGAACUGGGGCAAUAUAUUCACUUUCUGGAGAAUAUGCAGCAGAUCACUUAAAAGUUUGUUUUUAUCAAAAACCAAGUGCUCAUCGUUCUUGAAGACAAUAUGUUGGAAUACAUGGACUACCAUAAAGGAGUCUCUCUGGUAAGGGGCAGAGGGAUAAGUAAAAUUACUUUAUAGUUCAUAUAAGAUUGGAGAGACAAGAUUGAUAAAAGUCCUUUCCAAAGCCAACAGCUCCUUACAUACAUACUGAUAAAAAAAGGAAGUUGCGAUUUACACCAGAAGAAACAAAUUUGGCAGAUAUCCUCAAAUCAGUCCUCUGAUAAGUGCAUUUUCUCCUAAAAUAUACAUUUUGCUCUUACUUGACUUACUACAGGGCAACAAAAGUUCCUACAUAAUUUUCCAUUUUAUCCUCUGGAUCAUUCU